ACUAUUAAUUUACUUAAUACUGUAAGCUAACAAACUUUUUCUUCUAAAGUCCAAAUGAGGCUUAGCAGCAUUGAAAGAUGACACUUAACAAACGUUAGCCCACCCAAGUACCAGUAGUUGCACAUGCUGAAGUGAUAGCAAUUUAUUCCCAUGAAAAGGUUUCAGCACCUGCCCCAGUCAGAAGGAAGACAGCCAACUUGCAACGUUUCAACUACUUAGAACCUCUCCUCUGGUUGAUCAUGUCACUUACAUAAAUUCCACCAAACAAAGCUCCGAAGAUGCUGGAGUAAUGCAGACAAAAGGAACCAAAAGCUAAACAGAGCUUCUGGAAAGAGAGGAUCAAGCAUCUUCCGAGCCAUCUUCAGCAGAAAGUUACUGUUUCCAGCCAGCCACUCACACUUUUUAUUUGCUCAGAUCAGCUGCUUUUAUCUGGGGUGAGCGUGGCCUCCACAUGAUGCAUCCAGCCCGCAGGCUGCCAGUUUGACACCCCUGGCGUAGAUAUAUUGCCUCAGGAUGAUUUGUCCCCAUCUUGUUCCUUCUGAUCUCAAGAAAACUGAUAAAAAUAAAAGAAUGGUGGUACAUUAUUGUAGUGGUUUGAUCACAGAUUCAUUCUU